rnacentral:rRNA from 1 species
CUACGGGUGGCACCAGUGAGGAAUAUUGCACAAUGGGGGGAACCCUGAUGCAGCAACGCCGCGUGGAGGAUGACGCAUUUCGGUGUGUAAACUCCUUUUAUAUGUCAAGAAAAUGACGGUAGCAUAUGAAUAAGCACCGGCUAACUCCGUGCCAGCAGCCGCGGUAAUACGGAGGGUGCAAGCGUUACUCGGAAUCACUGGGCGUAAAGGACGCGUAGGCGGGUUGGAAAGUCAGGUGUGAAAUCCUACAGCUUAACUGUAGAGCUGCACUUGAAACUUCUAAUCUAGAGUAUGGGAGGGGGAGAUGGAAUUAGUGGUGUAGGGGUAAAAUCCGUAGAUAUCACUAGGAAUACCUAAAGCGAAGGCGAUCUCCUGGAACAUUACUGACGCUAAGGCGUGAAAGUGUGGGGAGCAAACAGGAUUAGAUACCCCGGUAGUC